rnacentral:misc_RNA from 1 species
GAGUUUUACACCAUGUGACCAUAUUGGCUAAAGUAUCAAAAUACCACAUAAAUAAAUUAUCUGACGUUUGUAUACAGUAUAUUUUGUUAAAAAGCAUAUAAGAGUAAGGAAUUCUGGGUCGUAGCCGCUCGCUAUUUUUGUGUGAUUAUCAAAAUUUGGCAGCAAUAUAUUUCGAUUUAGUUGCUCUUUAAUCAACUGGCAUACGAAGUUGAUGCGACACAAAAGCGACAUUAGCGAUACGCAAACGCAGGCGAAAGAAAAAUAUAACAUUUAAUAAAACACAAAAUAUAAUAUAAAAAUUUUUCCACACUUGGCUACACCGGAUCGAAGAGAGUGCGAAAGAGUGAGAGCGAGCAAAGGCGAAUUUCGAAUGCGAAAGCGAUUCGAUUGGCAGAAACAAGACACAACGAUUGCCGUCGUACAUCGGCCACCGAUUUUCUUUGCCGUUGGCUGUUGUAAGUUUUAUUUCUACAGUAAAGGAAUCUAAUUCAGAAGCAUUUGAUAAGCACGGGCACGGUUAACAAAAUGUUAAUAAACCUAAAGGUGAAAACUUUAGAUGCUCGCACACACGAUUUCAGCAUCGACAAUGAGUUAACCAUACGCCAGUUCAAGGACCAAAUCGCAGAGAAGACUAACAUUGCAGCCGAGAAUCAGCGAAUUAUUUACCAGGGCCGCGUGUUGUCUGAUGACAAACAGGUGAAGGAAUACGAUGUCGAUGGCAAAGUUCUGCAUGUGGCCGAGCGUCCGCCCUUCUCGCAGCGCGGCGCCAAUGCAACGAACAACGAUGAACCGAUGCGUGGCUUGAACCGCCUCCCCGGCAGACCAGCACCACGAAAUCUGCGCAAUGCGCCAUAUUUCAGGACACUCGACGGCAUGCUGGUGGGCACUAUGGCCAUUCCCGUGAACAAUGGACCACUGAAUGCUGCGGGCGCUCGCACACCUCCGAAUCGCUUUCCCAACUCGUCGUCUUUCUGCAUUAAUCGCAUCACUGUUGCCCAGCACAUGAUCGACUGUGCCAAUAAUAUAGCUGCAUAUCUGGAGAACCCCGAGAUCGGGCUGAAUAAUCAAUCAUUAGAUAUACUACAGCGCGGGCAUUGGACUAUGGAAUCAACGGUGGUCGAGGUGGGCGUGUCCUCCACCGAUAUGCCACGCAACAAUAACAUCAUUGACAUGGUACAGGACGCAGUCACCGCUGCAUUGUCACGCAACACACCUGGUCGCAACUAUACAGUGGUGCAGCUGCCCACUGUCUACACCAACGAGGAGGGCGACCAGCAGCAGCAGCAGCAGCCGCAGCCGCAGCAACAGCAACAACAAUCGCAGCAGCAGCAACAACAGCCAUCGGAUCGUGCUGGAAGCAGCAGCAGCGAUGGCGCCGCCAGCGUUGACACGAGCGAGGAGACUACAGCAGCAGCCGCUGUGAUCAUUGAGGAUGUAAUUGAGACAGAUGAUGAGGCAGCCGAUGGGACUAACACGCCACCCGGUGAGGACGAGCGCUCCAACUCGCCGCAGGCAGAGGCAGCGGAUCGAGGCGCAGCAGCCGGAACAGCAGCUGCUGGAGGGACGCAACCGAACGGCGCUGGCAAUGGUCCGCGCCGUCGUACACGUCCCGAGGUGCUGGCGCGAGUCUUUCAGCGCUAUCGCACCGUCGAGCAACGUUUGGCGCCCUUCCUCGAUCGCUACUACGAAAUCUUGCAGCAAGAUCCCAGCUUUGAGGAACAGGACACAGCGGGACGAGAGAAUGCGCAGCGCAUCUACGAUCGUGUCUCCGAGGCUCUGCACUAUCUGUCGCACGCCCAGCACGCCAUCUCGGACUUGAUGCUGGAUCUGUCCCAGCCAGGUCCGCGUGUGCUCACCUGUCGGCCCAUUCUCGUGGAGCAGAGCGGCUACAUACGCUCCAAUAAUAUCUUUACGCCCAAUCUGGUGAGCGCUCCGCUUGCAGACCUCAUUGCCCAGGUGCCGCCAGCGUCUGCAGUACCACAAGCCGCGCAACCAGCCUCUGCCUCUGCUGCAUCUAAUCCUCAACAACAGACUGUGGCUGGAACAGGCUCAGGUUCGGGCACAGGCACAGCUUCAGCGCAACAACAACGACCCGGAACUGAUCAAGAUGGAGUAGAUGAUCAAGUGGAAAACUCUGUUGAAGUCGAAGCAGCGCCUCGGCCAAGGCUAAGUCUCUAUAUGCCUGUACCAUUGCCUAUGCCCAAUCCUCGAAUGUCACAUCUUAUCCAGGCUGUUUCUAAUGCUACAGACGAUGGGGAACAGCGUCCACAGAACCCACAGGAUGGGUCUAGCAUGCAAGAUAUUGAGGAGGAGGAUUAUACAGAUCCCGAGGAACGUAACCGAAGGGAAGAUGAGCUUAUAGCGGAAGGGAUUGCUGAUGCAGAUGCAGCAGCCGCUGCCUUCGCUGGUCUAGCCAAUCGAAAUGACAACUUUGAGGAUCCUGUGGAUGAGCCCAUGGUGGCGCCAGCUGGCACCAAUGCAGCCGGCACACAAUCUCGUGCAGAUGCAGAUGAGCAUGCCGAGCGUGCGGCUGAGCCUAAUGAAGCACCCAGGCCAAGGCUUCGUCUCUAUAUGCCUGUAUCAAUGCCAACGCCCAAUCCUCAGAUGCGAAUGGCCCGUUUGAUUCAGGCCGUGGUCAAUAGCGCCACGAACGAUGCGGAUCUGCGUGUCGAAUUCAAUGUGCCCAAUGUGAUGUCCAUAAAUUUGCCGGUGCAUGUGAUGACCGCUGCUGUGCAUCCGCAAGCUCAGGCCCAGGCCCAGGCUCAGGGACAGGGUCAGGGUCAGGGUCAGGCACAGGCACAGGGACGACCAGCAGCCGCCACCGACAGUGCCGGAGCUGGCGAAGCAAAUGUAGCAGCUGCCGCAGCAUCAGCUGGAGCCAAUGCUGUUGCUGCUGCUGUUGCUGCUGCUGCUGCUGCGGCGGCCGCAUCCACAUCGAGCGGCACGCGCAGCGGCGAGCAGCGCGCCAAUACAUUGCCCACAACGGCCACGCAGACGCGCUCGACGUCCCGACCACAGAUUCAGAUUGGCGGCAACAACAAUUGGGCCGGACGCAUUGCGCCCACCCAUACGGCGUUCGAUCGUUUCUUGCCCUGCAAUAGCCAUCAUAUUCGUGAGCCGGAGCCAAUGGUUCAACAGCAGCAACAACAGCAACAACAACAACAGCAAAUCAACAAUAAUAUCAGAAGCAGAAACAACAACAUCAGCAGCAGAAACAACAACAACAACAAUAAUCACAUAAACAACUACCGAAGACCGACAAGUGAUCAAUCCGCUGAUGCUCUGGUCAACGGUAUUCGCUUGCCGCGUAGCUUCAGCGGCUCAAGCAUCUCGCGUAUCAUGCCGCGUCGACGACCCACCAUCAUGCGCGAGAGCCGAAGCGGCAGCGCGCCGGGAUUGACGACUAUUGGUGGUGGUAGUGUUGGUGGUGCCAAUCGUAUUGGUGGUAAUGGUGGUGGUGGCGGUGGUGGUGUUGCUGGUGGCGGUGGCGUGCACGCAGCUGUCAGUUCGAGCUACUCAAUGAGCCGCCGUCCCGUUGCACGCCAGCCGAACGGUCGGUCCGCGCAAAGAACCGUAUCCAGACUUUUAUCCGCUAUGUUUGACAAUUUCCUGGUUACUAAUAUGAGAAAUCAUGCGCAAACAGCUUUGGGCGGCACAACAACGGGGCUAACUAAUGCCACUUCGACCGCAGCAACCAACAAUGGUGGCGCCGCAGCAGCCAAUGCGACUCCAGUGGCCGCCUCAGCCUCAGCAGCAGCCGCAGCCACAGCUGCAGCCCCGAGCUCCGACUCGGGCUCGGGUUCGGGUUCGGGCUCAGCCGGCGACGCAGCUGCAGCUGUGGCUGUCAGCCGAGAGACUUGCAAUCUGCGCGCCCAACUGCGCAGCUUUCUGCACCACAGCGUCUUCGAGGGCGCCUCGAUCAAUCCGGACACGAUGCAAUUGGCUGUGGGCCGAGCUCUGGACUGGUUCGGCGACAAUCUCGUGUUUCUGCGUCAGUACGAGCGGCCGGAGUACAAUUCGCGGGACUCCGUGUGCAAUACGCUGCGCCAGAGCCUGCAACGCAUCAUCAAGCUGUGCUACGGCAACACUUGCAGCAGCCACUUCGAGCAUCAGCUAAAGCAAAUCUGCGAUCAGUUCCGGAAGCGUCUAUACAGCGUGCUCUUCCUGUGCCUGGGCAGCGCCAAUGCGGAGCUCUACUGGCGGCAGCUGAUGCGACGGCUCAGCGUGCCGCUGCGUUUCAAUUUCCGCAAUGAGGCCUUGCAGUUCUUGUGCAUCUACAUAGAUCCCACAAUUCCUGCUACGACGGACACCGCCGAUGCUCAACAGUUCCUCGUGCUGCGCAAUGCAGUGACAACGGGCCCAGAUGCCGACGAGCCUUUUGUGUGGCCUCCGCUACUCGCCUUUCCUUCACAUUCACAGCCGGCAGAACAAUCGCUCGACACCGACGUUGAAAUGGCCGACGUGGCCGGCGGCAGCAGCAACUCCGCGGAGCAGGAGCUAUCGUUGCCCGCGGUAACAGUCGGCUCGGAACCUUGGCAUAACAGUUUCCCUCAUGACUGGCUGCCUGUGAUAACUCGCGAUCUGCAGACCCAAACAGAGCAAAACCUACCACAACCACCCUACUCCGAUGCUUAUAUAUCGGGCAUGUCUGCCAAGCGUCGCAAGAUCAUCCAGAACGAGAAGUCAUCAAACGUGGAAUGCCUAAUUUCUAGCGGUGUGCAGCGUGCUCUCCAGAACUCCGGUCUGGCUGGCACGAAUGGUGGAGGUGCCGGCAACGUGAAUCCCACUGUUAAUCCUGAUGUUGUGAUCAAUGCCAUUGCCCAUGAUGCUGUGGUGCAGGCUUCCUACACGGAAGCUGUGCGCAACAGUGCACGCGAGCGCCUUAAGCAGGAUAUUGAUUAUAAUCCAAGCAAAUAUCCGCAAAUCACCAAGUUCACCGAGCAAAAGUAGGCGACGAACUUGGAUCGUGUUGUGGGCGUGGUCGUGGUCGUGGCCGUGGCCGUGAAUGAAACGUGCUUAAUUAAUUGGAUAAGUUCUGAAGCCUGUGUUGGUCACACGAAGUGCGCGGCUGUGGAUACUUCAAGACACACACAUACAGAUAAACAUACACACACAUAUAUAUAUAGAUACAUAUAUAUGUAGAUAUAUACUAUAUAAA